GAUGGGUGCCUGAGGCCGGCCAGCGGGACCGGGAAUGGGGCUGAGUCAUCACUAGAGAGUGGGAAGGGCAGCAGCAGCAAAAGAGAAUCCAAACCCCAAAGCUGAUAUCUCAAAGUAUCUUUUCUUGAAGUUGAGGGCUCAGAGGGGAGCCAUCAUGAGCGAUGUUACCAUUGUGAAAGAAGGUUGGGUUCAGAAGAGGGAGACCUCUUUGGUGGAGCCUACAGGAGGAGAGGAAGCACAAGAUUCAUAAGAUGGCGGGCGGCCAUCAAGCAUUUUUUGGAAGAGAUAUCGACAUCACUGCUCAAAGAUGAAUGAUGACAACUGGCCAAUGAAUUGUGUUCCACAGACAUCAUCACAGAAUUGAAAGCUCUCAAUUUGCUACUGCAGGGAAAAGGAAAAAAAAAAUGGACUUGCCUAAGAAAUUAAUGACAGCUUGCUAAAAUUUAGUUUUGGAGGAAAAAAAGCACUUGAAAACUCUAAAUAUUUAUUGAGCAUUUACUAUGUGGAAAUACUUUCAUUUUAAAUAUAAUUUCAGGUUUAACUUCACCAUUACACUGUUGACAUAUCCCUUUUAAAAAAAUUCAAAAAUUGGUUGUCAUUUUUUAAACUAUGCAUUUUUCCAAGAUACUUAUGGAAUGGAAUGGUGAAGUCAUUGAGAAUUGUGUACUCUUCUUUUACCUGGACAUUGAAACUCUUUUACUGGAGAUGAUUGAAU
rnacentral:lncRNA from 1 species